rnacentral:lncRNA from 1 species
GCUUUCUUUUCCUCAAAACUUUGGAAGCACCUGCAAGUUCAGAAAAAAAAAAUGUACCUAUAAAUUAACAAUGUUGAAUUUAAAAUGUUAACGUCAUUUCGUGAUAAAAAGCAUGUCGAGAAGCAAAAAUUAAGAAACAGUCAACAGAUUUCUUGAGAAAGAAAACAUAUUCUUACCAACUCCUUAGCACUAAUGCAAGUAUGUGUAUGUGGUCAGCCUUCUUCAGUUUGAGCACUUAUAUACUGUAUAUAUACAUCUCAAAAUCUAGGGUUCUGAUUAUAAGUCAAACAUAUGAUAUUGUAUGCAAAAGGAAACAUAUUAAAUAUUACCAUUCAAAAUGAAAAUGAAAUAGUGUAUGUAAGUAUAUAAAUCGAUUAAAAAGUUUCCAUUUUUUUUGCUUACAGAAUAUGUUACCAAACUAAAUAAUGUUAAGUCAACAAAAAUAUUAUGUUCAGUGCUGAAUGACUCAUGUCAUAAAUUUUUGUUUCACUUAAUUCUUAAUUUAGGGGUCAUCAAAAUAAAUAAAGUUGGAAUAAAAACAAGUAUUGUUACCUCAAUUGGAAAUAUAUGUAAGCAAGAAUGUUCCAUGAAGAAUUGACAUCUCUGAUAAAAUCCUCUAUUUAUUAUUGGAAAAUAUUCAAAAAUUGAAUAAAAACACAUUUUUCGUCCCCUUAGUAUAAAAUCAAGAGAAAAUUGUCAAAUAUAACUCACAACUUGAAUUCAAAUGCAAAAGUAAACCCAAACUUGAAUCAAAUGCAAGAUUAACCUAAAAAGCUAUUGAAAUUAUAACCAGCCCCU